rnacentral:lncRNA from 1 species
UGCAAGAGUAGUGUGUAAGAUGCUAACAAUCAAACAAGUGAUAGUGACAGUAGCCAAUGGCAAGAAACUGAUGAGCACAACUAUAUGUAACCCCCAUGUUUGGACUAUGCAAGGAAUGGAGUUCCAAUACCAACAGAGAGUGAUUAGACUUGGAGACAGUGAUAUGGUGCUUAGAAUGGAUUGGCUAAGCCAAUUUGUUCUUGUCUUAUUUGAUUUCAGCAGGGGCAGCAUCCAAUGUCAUUUUGAGGGCGAGAAGAUAGAGCUCAAGAGUGAAUCUUCUAAGAGAAACUUCAAUAUAAUAGCUAGCAGUGAAGUCAGCCAAUGGUUCCAAAAGCAGCCUUAUGGGGUUAUAGCUCAGUUUUAUUCCUUAGCAGAAGAAGAGACACAACUUGUACCUAGUGUAGUGUUAACUUUGAUUGAGCAAACACUUACCAGGUCAAACCAAAACUUGCUGUAAAGUACUAUGGACACUUUACCUUAUAGAGGGUUUUACAGUGAACGGGCCAGUUAAUAAUGAUCUAUCUUCUGUCGGAGUCAUGCUUUUACAGAUUUCUGAUUACAUUUUCCAUGAACCUCGAAAGAUACUCUGGUCAAGUUGUUGGCACCAUUUAUAAAGAAGAUUCAACUUUCUUGGUCUUUGACAAGCUGAGAUAGAUAGAUAAGAGAUUGGAAAAUGUACGGAUGUGCCCUUUUGAAGAUCUAACUAAUAAUGAGCCGGGCAAGGUAAAUUGCUGAUCCUAAAAUGAAAGAUAUAUGGGAAAAUAGAUUGCAACGGGUUUCUGGAAUGGAGGGUACAUCCUAUGGGGUUGCAAUUAUGCCAAAUAACUUACACUCCCUAGUUAAUAACGAAGAUCCUUGGAUUUUACGUCAUGGUACUCAUUUUUCUCUUCCUAGACCUAGCAAAAUUCAAAUAAGAAGGGAAGCUGGAGGAACUAAGGAAGCUGCUGGUGACGGUCAUCCUAUUAAUGGUGAGUUACAAACAAGCAAUUGCAAGGUGUUGAGCAUAGAGAUAUCAUUGGAGGAUUCAACCCAGUAAACUUCAGAAUUUAUACAGACAAUAUUUACUUCAUUUGAACCUUGGGGACAAUGUUAUUUUAAGGGAUGUAAGUGUUAU